GGAAGUAAGAGUCGUAACAAGGUUUCCGUAGGUGAACCUGCGGAAGGAUCAUUAUUGUAUAACCGAGGUGCGAGGGCUGUCGCUGACUCGAAAGGUCGUGCACGCCCGAGUGCCCUCACACACAUCCAUCUCACCCCUAUGUGCACCACCGCGUGGGUCCCCCUUUGGCUUGUUCGGAGGGGGGCUUACGUUUUCACACGAACUUUGUAUGCAGUGUAGAAUGUAUUUUUUGUUUUUGCGAUCACGCAAUCAAUACAACUUUCAACAACGGAUCUCUUGGCUCUC
rnacentral:misc_RNA from 1 species